AGCAAGCGUCUCCAGUAGGCAGAGACCAUUGGGGAGUAAAGAGGGAGGGGCAACUCUGACAACCGCAGGCGCUGCUCUCCGCUGGCGGGGGCCGCAUCCAACCCCACCCCCUCAAGUACAGGAGGCCGGCCGGCUGGCCCGUUUCUGGCUCCUGCGCUUCGUCUUUGUUGUGCCGGCGUUUCCGUGAAGAAAUCCAUUCGUUCGCUCGACUUUGUUUUUCCGUUAUCGGCGUCAACGGCGCGCGGCCUGCCGUGCUUGCCACUAGUGAGGGGCGCUCUUGGCGGCCGAAAGCGCUGAGCGAAGAUGAGCAACUCGAGGAAUAACCGUGUGGUGGUGGAAGGCGUCGGGGCCCGGGUCGUGAGAGGUCCCGACUGGAAGUGGGGAAAGCAGGACGGCGGCGAGGGCCACCUGGGCACCGUGCGCAGCUUCGAGAGCCCCGAGGAGGUGGUGGUGGUCUGGGACAACGGCACGGCCGCCAACUACCGCUGCUCGGGAGCCUACGACCUGCGUAUUCUCGACAGUGCGCCCACUGGAAUUAAACAUGAUGGAACAAUGUGUGACACUUGUCGCCAGCAACCAAUAAUUGGCAUUCGAUGGAAAUGUGCAGAAUGCACCAAUUAUGACUUAUGCUCAGUGUGCUAUCAUGGGGAUAAACAUCAUUUGAGACAUCGCUUUUACAGAAUAACCACACCAGGAAGUGAAAGGGUAUUAUUAGAAUCUCGCCGUAAAUCAAAGAAAAUAACUGCAAGAGGAAUCUUCACAGGUGCCAGAGUGGUACGAGGAGUUGAUUGGCAAUGGGAAGAUCAGGAUGGUGGCAAUGGUCGUAGGGGCAAAGUGACUGAAAUCCAAGACUGGAGUGCAUCAAGUCCACACAGUGCAGCAUAUGUUUUAUGGGACAAUGGAGCUAAAAACCUUUACAGAGUUGGCUUUGAGGGCAUGUCAGACCUUAAAUGUGUUCAGGAUGCAAAAGGAGGUUCUUUCUACCGAGAUCAUUGUCCUGUGCUUGGUGAACAAAAUGGGAAUCGGAAUCCUGGUGGAUUGCAGAUCGGUGAUCUAGUAAAUAUUGAUCUUGACUUAGAAAUUGUUCAGUCUCUGCAGCAUGGCCAUGGAGGAUGGACUGAUGGAAUGUUUGAAACAUUAACUACUACUGGCACAGUUUGUGGGAUAGAUGAAGAUCAUGAUAUUGUUGUACAGUAUCCAAGUUGCAAUAGAUGGACAUUUAACCCUGCUGUUCUAACAAAAGCCAAUGUUGUCCGAAGUGGAGAUCCUGGUCAAGGUGCUGAAGGUGGAACUUCACAAUUUCAAGUGGGUGACCUUGUCCAAGUUUGUUAUGACUUAGAAAGAAUCAAGUUACUUCAAAGAGGACAUGGUGAAUGGGCUGAAGCAAUGCUUCCUACUUUAGGUAAAGUUGGAAGGGUCCAACAGAUCUAUUCAGACAGUGACUUAAAAGUAGAGGUUUGUGGAACUUCAUGGACAUAUAAUCCAACUGCUGUGUCAAAAGUGGCUUCGGCAGGCUCCACUAUAAGCAACGCAUCUGGUGAGAGAUUGUCCCAGUUAUUGAAGAAACUGUUUGAAACUCAAGAAUCUGGGGAUCUUAAUGAAGAGCUUGUUAAAGCAGCUGCUAAUGGAGAUGUAGCUAAAGUGGAAGACUUGCUUAAGAAACCAGAUGUGGAUGUGAAUGGGCAGUGUGCAGGACACACAGCUAUGCAAGCUGCUAGUCAGAAUGGGCAUGUUGACAUUUUGAAAUUGCUUCUUAAACAAAAUGUGGAUGUAGAAGCAGAGGACAAAGACGGGGACAGGGCUGUUCACCAUGCAGCUUUUGGUGAUGAAGGAGCUGUGAUUGAGGUGUUACAUAGAGGCAGUGCAGAUCUCAAUGCUCGCAACAAACGAAAACAGACGCCACUUCAUAUUGCUGUUAAUAAAGGUCACCUCCAAGUAGUGAAAACAUUACUAGACUUUGGUUGCCAUCCUAGUCUCCAGGAUUCUGAGGGUGAUACUCCUCUUCAUGAUGCAAUAAGUAAAAAGCGUGAUGACAUCUUGGCAGUCCUUCUAGAAGCUGGAGCAGAUGUUACUAUUACGAACAACAAUGGGUUUAAUGCUCUACAUCAUGCUGCACUACGAGGAAAUCCAAGUGCAAUGAGAGUGUUGCUUUCUAAGCUGCCAAGGCCAUGGAUUGUGGAUGAGAAGAAAGAUGAUGGGUAUACUGCCUUGCAUUUGGCAGCACUUAAUAAUCAUGUGGAAGUGGCAGAACUCUUGGUGCAUCAGGGCAAUGCUAACCUGGAUAUCCAGAAUGUAAACCAACAAACUGCACUGCACCUUGCUGUUGAACGACAGCACACCCAAAUAGUGAGGCUCUUAGUCCGUGCAGGUGCUAAACUGGAUAUUCAGGAUAAAGAUGGAGAUACCCCCCUUCAUGAAGCCCUGAGGCAUCAUACCUUGUCACAACUUCGCCAGCUCCAAGACAUGCAAGAUGUGGGCAAGGUAGAUACUGCUUGGGAGCCAUCAAAGAACACAUUGAUAAUGGGACUGGGUACACAGGGAGCAGAGAAGAAGAGUGCAGCAUCUAUUGCCUGCUUCCUGGCAGCAAACGGAGCUGACCUUGGUAUUCGUAAUAAGAAGGGUCAGUCACCUCUUGACUUGUGUCCUGAUCCUAGCCUUUGUAAAGCAUUGGCUAAAUGUCACAAAGAAAAAGUCAGUGGCCAGGUUGGUUCCCGAAGUCCUUCUAUGAUCAGCAAUGAUUCAGAAACCUUAGAAGAAUGUAUGGUAUGUUCUGAUAUGAAGAGAGAUACUUUAUUUGGACCAUGUGGGCAUAUUGCUACCUGUUCCCUCUGUUCACCAAGAGUCAAGAAAUGCCUCAUCUGCAAGGAGCAAGUUCAAUCACGAACAAAGAUUGAAGAAUGUGUGGUAUGCUCAGACAAAAAAGCAGCUGUACUCUUCCAGCCUUGUGGACACAUGUGUGCUUGUGAAAAUUGUGCCAGCCUGAUGAAAAAGUGUGUGCAGUGUCGGGCAGUAGUAGAGCGAAGAGUGCCUUUCAUUAUGUGUUGUGGUGGGAAAGGUACAGAAGAUGUCACAGAUGAUAUUACUAGUGGAAACAUUCCUGUUCUGCAGAAAGACAAGGACAAUACCAAUGUCAAUGCUGAUGUACAGAAAUUGCAGCAGCAAUUGCAGGACAUAAAGGAACAGACUAUGUGUCCUGUGUGUCUGGACCGUCUGAAGAAUAUGAUCUUUCUCUGUGGUCAUGGAACCUGUCAGCUAUGUGGAGAUCGAAUGAGUGAAUGUCCUAUCUGCCGAAAGGCUAUUGAACGAAGGAUCCUUUUGUAUUAAAAUACUGUCUGAAGUGAGAGAAAAAGAAGUAGUACUGGGAAAACAUGAGAUGAUUACACAUAGAUGAUGUCAUGCUGACCCAACUUAAAUAACUAUGCCUUCCAGCCCCAUUGGGUGUCGCUGUGGUCACUGGAUCUGGUAAAUCUCUCCGUGCUGUGCCAAACGGGAGCCCCUCAUGUAUAAACACAGCAUUGCACGAACAGAAGUAUGGGACACAACUCUCCUCUCCAAAAACAGAUGAGACUGUUCUGAAGUACAUAAAUAAAAAUAAGCUUUUUAAGCCUGACACAUUUCAGAAAAAAAAUUCCAUCCUCGGGAACCUACUGACUUGAUCCACGUACAUCUUCCAAAAUGUACAAAUGCUUCCUCUGUUUCAAGUGACUGCUACUUUGGGAUAUAAUUGGAGCCCUUCUCCCUGUUUCUUGGAAAGAAUUCUCAUCACCUUAGAAUGGCAGCUGUAGUCCUACCCCUCUAGAAGCAGUUAUAUCAACAGAUAAUUCCAUUAAAAAUCUAUGUGUGUUCGCCCAACAUUGGAGGAGUGAAGAACCACCCACUGAUGAACCGAUUCUAAAAAAAGAUUCUGGACUGUGCUGAAAUGGACAGGCUGACUUUGUCUCUGAAGGAGAA